rnacentral:rRNA from 1 species
AAUCAACGCUGGCGGCGUGCCUCAGACAUGCAAGUCGAACGCGAAAGGCCCCUUCGGGGGCUGAGUAGAGUGGCGCACGGGUGAGUAACACGUAGGUAAUUUGCCUUCGGGUGGGGAAGUAACAGCCGGAAACGGCUGCUAAUACCGCAUAAUGCAGCGGCUCGACAUCGAGACAGUUGUUAAAGCGGGGGAUCGCAAGACCUCGCGCCUGAAGAGAAGCCCGCGGCGGAUUAGCUAGUUGGUAGGGUAAUGGCCUACCAAGGCAACGAUCUGUAACCGGCCUGAGAGGGCGGUCGGUCACACUGACACUGACAUACGGGUCAGACUCCUACGGG